UUUCUCUGAAGCCAGACUGAAAAAGUGAACUUAUAUUUCACUCAUUAGAAAUAAAAGCAGAAUCUCCCUAGCCAGUUUGGUACACAUAGAACAGAACAAAUUGCUUGGAUUUGUUUUACAGUCACUCAGUAUGUGAGGAAUCAUAGCAUGAAAUUGAGUUGGGCACAGGCCACAUGCCCAGCGUGUGUCAGGGGGUGGAUGUAAUGCCUGGCAGACUAGUGAUACGUUCACUCCAAAAAGCAUGUGAAGGUGGCGGAUGAGCGGGGCUUCCCAAGUGAUGGAGUAAGGAAUUCAGUGGAAAUUUUCCCCAGCAAAAUAGGGAAAAUUGCUUAAAAAAAAAAACACAAGCAAUUAUAUAAAAUCUAUGGAAAUUAUCCUGAGGACAUACAGUAAAUGGAGAAAUGUGCAUUCAAGAAAAUCUACCAAAUAUGCAAUCAGCCAGUCUGUACCCUUUGAGCUACAACCUCCUAACCACACCCCGUCCACAGCUCCAUGUUCUGGAAAUGCUACCCUGGGCCCUCCACUCGGCAUACAAAGCCAAGAAGAUUGAGUUUCUUUCCCUGCAACUCCCUUUCUGCAGCUAGGGGUUCACUCGGGAGAGACAGGUCGCUUGCCUUUCUCAUUCCCUGCUGCUCUUUACUGCAGAAGCUGUACUGAGGGCCAGGCAGGCGAGGACAUUGAGGGCUCAAUCGCCCUGCCCAGGUUCUAAAUAGGGUGGAGAUGCCACCCCAGGAGGGCAAGCCAGGAAGAAUAGGAACACCACUUCUUCCAGCCACCCCCCACCCCCGCCCACUUCUAGAGCAGAAAUGUCAUUCUUAGUAAAAGAGGGUCCGCACUUGAGUUCCAGGGCCUUGCCCGGAGGAAAGGCAGGCCAUGUGGAUGAGGAUCUCCCCCGCUCUGCCUGAGGAGACGGACUUUCUUUGGAACAGAGCCCGGAGCCCUGCGUGCCUAGGGGUGUUGUCAAAAAUAAUGGAGAUCUUGGAGAAGAGCGAUAAAGGAGGCGGUAGCUCCCUGGCACACGUAAGAUAGCAGAGCAUCCAGAAAUCUAACAGAAGCAGAGGAAGAGGCUAGAAGAGCUCUGCUGGGGCCACGAUCAAUCCUGGGGGUGCCCUAGGUGUGCGCACUCAGGAGAAAUGAAAGCAGGACGUGGGGCUGACUUCAAAGUGUCCCAGGCCACACAGGGCCCAUCAUCACAGGGCAGAGUCCUCACCGGCACAGGCUCAAACACUCCCUCUGAGCGAACACCACUGAACAAUAAGCUAUUCCCACCCAGGGGCUGCUCCCGGAAGCCAGGCUUGUAACUAGGUCACACCCAUUCCUGGGAGCCUGGGAAACCAUACCAGGGGCAAGACUGAGCCCUCCCAGGGGUGACCAGCGAGGGGGCUCCAAGCUGCUAGUCCCUGACUGAAUGUGGAGCUCAAAAAUGCAAAUUCCCCGAAGUGUGACAGCGAACUGCAGGCUGUACGGACCUCCAGCAGUGAAAGGAACGAGACAAAAGGAUUCAGAGGCAAGGAGACACAUAUUUGCAGCCUACCGUGCAGACGGCUCAGGAAAAUACAGCAUACGGGACGGAGAGGGGAAGCACGUGUGAUGAAAGCUCACGAGCAGUCUGUAUUGAUACACCUUAAGGCCAUGCAACCAUCUGCUCUUCAUCACAACUCCCCCUAGACUUAUCAUCCACUGUUGAUUCCUGCCGAUCCGGUUGUUACUUCUGAUGUCGGCAAAGCAGAGUUUCCAGCUCUGUCGGUCCCUGCACGUCGACCAGUCGGCUCGUGGCCGCUCACGGCAGUUCGUGGUGGUCUACUGUAAGUAAGAGCCCGUCGCCGUCAUCUGUGUGUGUAUGUGCACUCCUUUAAUAUAUAAAAUAGUUUCAGAAUUACUUUGUCCAUGAGGCUGAAAUAAGCGAUCCACUAAAAAGGUCAUUUUCAAUAACUACCACCCCCAAAAUGGCCCAUGCCUUUCCCCAAAAUGAGGCUAUACAGGCAAACACCGUGCUCAUACAGCAGGUGGAUUGGUUCAGUCUUUCCUUCCUCCCUGCACACACACACACACACACACACAAAGACAGUUUGAGCAAUAAAUAUUUUUUCAAAGUAGGAUUGGAUAUUAAGCAUAAAAUGAGUAUAUAUCAAUCCAUGUUGAUAUAAAUGUUUGAAGAAAGGCAGCAGGCAUGCACAACAAUGUGUACUGUUUGAACUCCUCUGUGUUCAGCUUUAACAACUUAAA